UGGGGGAUAUUGCACAAUGGGCGAAAGCCUGAUGCAGCGACGCCGCGUGGGGGAUGAAGGCCUUCGGGUUGUAAACUUCUUUUGCUCUGAACAAGGCAUGCCUUUGGGGUGUGUUGAGUGUAGGGGUUGAUUAGCGCCGGCUAACUACGUGCCAGCAGCCGCGGUAAUACGUAGGGCGCGAGCGUUGUCCGGAAUUAUUUGGCGUAAAGGGCUUGUAGGUGGCUGGUUGCGUCUGUCGUGAAAGCUCAUGGCUUAACUGUGGGUUUGCGGUGGGUACGGGCUGGCUUGAGUGCAGUAGGGGAGGCUGGAAUUCCUGGUGUAGCGGUGGAAUGCGCAGAUAUCAGGAGGAAUACCGGUGGCGAAGGCGGGUCUCUGGGCUGUUACUGACGCUGAGGAGCGAAAGCGUGGGGAGCGAACAGG
rnacentral:rRNA from 1 species